ensembl:lncRNA
CCCCACGCGUCUCAGUCCACACGUGGAGACCAAGGUGCCUGCAGGGGCCUGGGUACUUCUGGGGGCUUCGAGGGAGGGUCUGCCUGCAGUCUCUCCAUGGACAGUGGGCUUGGUGACCUGAGGCUUAUAAAACUCAUCACUCAGAUCACUGCUUCUUCCUGCAGCUCCCCACGGGGAGUCCUCCUGUGCCCACGUCCCCCCUCCCAUGUCCCCACUCUCCAUGUCCUCCACGUGGCAUGGUCUGAGUCAGACCCUCUGGCCAUCCUUCCACUUCUACACCUGUGCGUCCUUCCCAAAUCCGUGAUCUUCACAUCUGAAGGCUCUGGGGCCAGGCAGCUCCUCCUGUGCCUGUCUUGGCAGAAACCUAGUGGGAGCCCAGCCUAGGCCCCUCCCGCCCCCAUGUCUGCUGGGGUCCCCUCCUGUCUCCCAUGUCUGCUGAGGUCCGAGCCCAGUGGCGCCCCCUCCAGUCCCUGUGUCUGCCGAGGUGAACUCUGGUUUUCCUGGCAGAAGCUUGAUGACAGGUGGCAAGGCCCCCUGGGAUGCGCUGUCCAGCGUGUCUGGAAUUGGGGACGUCUGAGCCCUAGGACGGGUCUGGAUACGGGGCGACUGCCCUCGUCCCUUCUUUUACAGGUGGGGUGCAAGUGUGCAGGGAGGCCCAGUCCUGGUAGUCCCAGGCUGCCUUCCCGGCCCUGGCCCACUACGAAAUGUAACUCCGGACCUCAGAAUUAUAUGGAAACACCCGCUGUGCUGAAUAUGUCAAAAUUUGGACUCUGCUUCUGGGCAGGAGGGGGACUCCCAACACAAACUCCGCACUGAGCCCCACCUUGGAGCCUCCUGCACUCUGCAGGGCCAGUGCAUAGCCCCCUGCUCAUGGUGCGAGCCAGCUGACUCCUAGGCUGCUGGCCCUGCCAAGGUAAGGACAGAGGAUGCCUGUUGUACGCUGACAGCCCCUGCACUUACUUCUCGCUGUGCCAUCCUCCAGCUGGGCCGGGGAGCAUGACCACCAAUGGGCAAGAAUUAGAGAGGAGACCGGCUGAAUUGGGUCAUGGGAGGCCUGCAGGAGCUGAACACAGCACAAAAGGGGGAGGCGGCCACCAUCCUCCCGGUCAGGGACCAGGCCACCUGCUUCCCUCCCCUCCUACUGUCAUCCUGCGUGUUGUGCUUGUCAAGUGGCCAAAACGCCUGCUCCGUCUGAACCUUCUCCCUGCCCCCUGGAGCCACCUCUGGGGCCUUGAUGGCCACAGGACAAGAGGACUUGGGAAUGGAGAGUCCCCUCCCUCAGAGCUUAUUCCUGGGCUCACCCUGGAGAAGGGGAGCUGCCAAGUCCUGAUCAGCUGACCUUUGCCCUCUGGCUGUAGGGACCUCCUGCAUCCAUCAGAUGGAGCCCUGGACACCCAGAGCAGAUGGGCCUUGGCCUUGCACAAACUGAGUGAGUGAGGCUGCAGCAAAGCCUUGUGAGGGGUGCAGGGUUGGGUGGGUCCCUCGGGGGCUGUGGUUUCUCUGAGGGAGGUAGGCUGGCCUCCCGAGUGACUCUCACGGCAUGGUCUUCAGGACACAUAAAGGUUAAAAAAGCUGG